rnacentral:tRNA from 1 species
GGAGACGUCGCAUAGCCCGGUCUAGUGCGCCACCCUGCUAAGGUGGUGACGGGGAAACCUGUCCGAGGGUUCGAAUCCCUCCGUCUCCG